CCAUUUCAUUGAUUUACAAUUCCUAUAUCUCAGAUAAAAGGAACACAAGCAGCAUACUCUUUAAUUUUAUCGGAACCAGUAGGUUUGCCAAACUCUCUUGUGCCAUCUCUUCACUUCUGCUACAUAUAGAAAGCACACACUCACACAUGCACACGCACAUACCGAGAGAAGAUACACAUCCGUGAAAGCUCUCAUCUAUCAUGGAUCAGUGAGAUAUACAAACUGGGAGUCCCUCAGGUGGUUUGCUUGGAGGGUUUGGUGACCCACAAUCUGCGAGAGUAGCAAAAAAAUAAUUGUCAAAACAAUAAACUGGACGAAUUGAAAUCAUGGGGACUCGAUGAUCUCUCUCACAUGGACGGAUUCCAGCAACGGGGGUGGAGCCCAUACAGACCAUACACAUGAGAAUUGCCACCCAGAAGCAGAGGAGAGCGAGGGAUCGAGCGGCUCUCGACCUUGAGCUCAUGUCUUGGUUAUGUUUCUGAAAGGUAGGUUAAACUUCGUC
rnacentral:lncRNA from 1 species